rfam:Legionella clemsonensis strain CDC-D5610 chromosome, complete genome.
GGAGAGAUGGCCGAGCGGUCGAAGGCGCACGCCUGGAAAGUGUGUAUACGGCAACGUAUCGAGGGUUCGAAUCCCUCUCUCUCCG